ensembl:lncRNA
AUUAAGAAGGGCAUACAGAUAGGACGGAGUUUCGCACAAUGAGAGUUUUGUAAAUGAACAGAAACCGGUGAGUUUGUCUGCCAGAGUGGAGUGAAGGCCAGUUCAACAGAGAAUACAAACAGCAGUGAUCGGAUAAAUCCUGAUAAGUCCGCAGCGGUCGAUUUGUAGUAGGAUCAAAAUCAUGUGAUCAGCAACAGGCAGCUGAUGUUGUCAGGGCCCCUGCCUGGCCCCCAUUUCUGUGGGCUCACUCCCUUCACCGCUCUGCUCAUCCUCCUGUCUGUGCCGCUCUCCCGCAGCUGCAACUACUAAGCAAUCAAAUCACCAGGAACUCCAUUCAGCUGUGGAUAGGCACACCUGACACAUCAUCAGCUCUGCAAUAAAAUCAGUCCUACCAACCACAGCGCUACAGUCCUCCAGAUAAAAGACAUGGACCCCCAGUUGGUUUCUGACCCAUCCGCUUGCUGGGAACCUGGACCCCUCCUUCCCAGGAGGACCUGGACCCCCUGACUGCUCCACUUGACCUGGUUGCUUGCUGGAUCCCUGGCUGGAUCCCUGGUUCUCCACUCUGGCCGCUCUCCUCACUCUCCACUGAUUGCCGUCAAUGCCAACGUAUGCCUCCCUGACUGCCGAUCCCCAGGAGCCUGAUUAGGACAGAUGAACAUG